AUACCUUUCUCGGCCUUUUGGCUAAGAUCAAGUGUAGUAUCUGUUCUUAUCAGUUUAAUAUCUGAUAUGUGGUCCAUUGGAUCACACGAUAUUAAAUUACUUUUUUGAGGGGGAGGAGCCGCCACAAUAGCUUGCUAUUGGGCUUCUCAUGUGUCGCCAUUGCGUUGCACUAUUGCAUUGGCUAGGCGCACCCCAC
rnacentral:snRNA from 1 species